rnacentral:rRNA from 1 species
GCAGAGGAGCUUGCUCCUUGGNUGACGAGUGGCGGACGGNUGAGUAAUGUCUGGGAAACUGCCCAGAUGGAGGGGGAUAACUACUGGAAACGGUAGCCAAUACCGCAUAACGUCGCAAGACCAAAGAGGGGGACCUUCGGGCCUCUUGCCAUCGGAUGUGCCCAGAUGGGAUUAGCUAGUAGGUGGGGUAACGGCUCACCUAGGCGACGAUCCCUAGCUGGUCUGAGAGGAUGACCAGCCACACUGGAACUGAGACACGGUCCAGACUCCUACGGGAGGCAGCAGUGGGGAAUAUUGCACAAUGGGCGCAAGCCUGAUGCAGCCAUGCCGCGUGUAUGAAGAAGGCCUUCGGGUUGUAAAGUACUUUCAGCGAGGAGGAAGGCGUUGUGGUUAAUAACCGCAGCGAUUGACGUUACUCGCAGAAGANGCACCGGCUAACUCCGUGCCAGCAGCCGCGGUAAUACGGAGGGUGCAAGCGUUAAUCGGAAUUACU